rnacentral:rRNA from 1 species
CCUACGGGAGACAGCAGUGAGGAAUAUUGGUCAAUGGCCGAGAGGCUGAACCAGCCAAGUCGCGUGAGGGAAGAAUGUUCUAUGGAUUGUAAACCUCUUUUGUCAGGGAGCAAAGUCACCCACGCGUGGGUGUUGGAGAGUAUCUGACGAAAAAGCAUCGGCUAACUCCGUGCCAGCAGCCGCGGUAAUACGGAGGAUGCGAGCGUUAUCCGGAUUUAUUGGGUUAAAAGGGUGCGUAGGCGGAUUAUAAAGUCAGCGGUAAAAUUGGGGGGCUCAACCCCAUCCAGCCGUUGAAACUGAUGAUCUUGAGUGGAAGAGAAGUAUGCGGAAUGCGUGGUGUAGCGGUGAAAUGCAUAGAUAUCACGCAGAACUCCGAUUGCGAAGGCAGCAUACCGGCGUCCGACUGACGCUGAAGCACGAAAGCGUGGGUAUCGAACAGGAUUAGAUACCCGAGUAGUC